CGGACCCGGUUACGGAUCCGGUUUUAUAACCAGAUAUUCGUAACCGGUUUUAAUUUUAAAAACAAAACACUUCAGACUUCACAGUGUAUUCACACGAUAAUCACGAGGACCUAGACAGAGAGCUCGACGAUCCUCUCCCCCACCCCCCCAGCGAAAUCAUAAACUGUUGUUCUCAUGGAUCCGUCGCCGCGGGUAAUUGGGCCGUCGGUGACUAUAGUGGCUACCGUCUUCUCCCAAGUUUUUCUCGUUACUUGAGUUCGAAGCUCAGUGUGGCUUCAAUUCAAAUCUCAUCAUAUUCCAGAAAUUAUUCAAGGUAUUACCAUUCUUAUGGAGACUCAAUCCAGCAGUUAUGUGGAAGAUAUGUGGAAGGAGAUGAUGCUGUAGAUCCUCCAUCUGAAGAACAAACAAGAGGAGGGGAAGAUUGUGAUCAUUCUUUUGUCUUGAAGGAUGAUCUUUUUUUCUUUUCUUUUUUAUCGGUUAAUGUAUUAGUUUAAUUAGCUGUGAUGUAUUAGUAUUUAUUUUAUUCUUUAUAAAUUUAUGUUUUGCAUUGCGAUGUAACAACAAUAUUAUCUA